rnacentral:rRNA from 1 species
GACGAACGCUGGCGGCGUGCUUAACACAUGCAAGUCGAACGAAGUGGCAGACGGGUGAGUAACGCGUAAUCAACCUGCCCUUCAGGGGGGGAUAACAGUUGGAAACGACUGCUAAUACAGCAUACUGAUGGAGGGGAGUGCGGCGGAUUAGCUAGUUGGAGGGGUAACGGCCAACCAAGGAGAUGAUCAGUAGCCGGUUUGAGAGGAUGGACGGCCACAUUGGGACUGAGACACGGCCCAGACUCCUACGGGAGGCAGCAGUGGGGAAUCUUCCGCAAUGGACGAAAGUCUGAAGGAGCAACGCCGCGUGAGUGAUGACGGCCUUCGGGUUGUAAAGCUCUGUUAAUCGGGACGCGGUACCGGAAUAGAAAGCCACGGCUAACUACGUGCCAGCAGCCGCGGUAAUAC